UGGGGAAUAUUGGACAAUGGGCGCAAGCCUGAUCCAGCCAUGCCGCGUGAGUGAAGAAGGCCUUCGGGUUGUAAAGCUCUUUUGUUGGGAAAGAAAAGCUUUCGGUUAAUAACCGGGAGUUCUGACGGUACCCAAAGAAUAAGCACCGGCUAACUUCGUGCCAGCAGCCGCGGUAAUACGAAGGGUGCAAGCGUUACUCGGAAUUACUGGGCGUAAAGCGUGCGUAGGUGGUGGUUUAAGUCUGAUGUGAAAGCCCUGGGCUCAACCUGGGAAUGGCAUUGGAAACUGGAUCACUGGAGUGCGGUAGAGGAUGGCGGAAUUCCCGGUGUAGCAGUGAAAUGCGUAGAGAUCGGGAGGAACAUCCGUGGCGAAGGCGGCCAUCUGGACCAGCACUGACACUGAGGCACGAAAGCGUGGGGAGCAAACAGG
rnacentral:rRNA from 1 species